GGCAGAGAUUUGAAGUAGAGUAGAUUAGAAGGAUCAUCUGACCCUACUAAACUACUCUACUUCGAGUUUGUGCCC
rfam:Haemonchus contortus, ISE/inbred ISE, WGS project CAVP01000000 data, contig: Hcontortus_38355